ACUAAAAAUUAGAAAGAAAAUCAAAGGAAAUCAAAGAGAGGUUGGAUGGCGAGAAAGGAAAUUAACACUCACCAAACAUACACCACAGGCCAGUGCUUUUCUGAUCAUCUGAUUUGCUACCUGCACACUGUCUAAGGUCCCAUGCUAACGCACAGGAUGAUUCAUUGAGCAACAGGGGCUGGGAACGCAGUGGAGGAGCGAAUGGCAAACCAAGGAGCUCAGGGAGCUUAGAAAAAGGAUCUCCAAAGGCAGGACCCCCAUGAUUAGAGAGACCACACGUCCUGGGCUAGGACAGAACUCGUGCACCUGCCUUGCAGAACUUUUGGGCUGUCUGAAGUUUUUUGAUGACUAUGAAUAAAACCAUAAAUUAAAAGACGCUUGUUCCUUGG